rnacentral:rRNA from 1 species
ACCGCCUGGGGAGUACGGCCGCAAGGUUAAAACUCAAAGGAAUUGACGGGGACCCGCACAAGCGGUGGAUUAUGUGGAUUAAUUCGAUGCAACGCGAAAAACCUUACCUACCCUUGACUUGUACGGAAUCUCCCAGAGAUGGGAGGGUGCCCGAAAGGGAACCGUAACACAGGUGCUGCAUGGCUGUCGUCAGCUCGUGUCGUGAGAUGUUGGGUUAAGUCCCGCAACGAGCGCAACCCUUGUCAUUAGUUGCUACAUUUAGUUGGGCACUCUAAUGAGACUGCCGGUGACAAACCGGAGGAAGGUGGGGAUGACGUCAAGUCCUCAUGGCCCUUAUGGGUAGGGCCUCACACGUAAUACAAUGGCCGGUACAGAGGGUUGCCAACCCGCGAGGGGGAGCUAAUCCCAGAAAGCCGGUCGUAGUCCGGAUUGUUCUCUGCAACUCGAGAACAUGAAGUUGGAAUCGCUAGUAAUCGCGGAUCAGCAUGUCGCGGUGAAUACUUCCCGGGUUCUUGUUACACACCGCCCCGUCACACCA